AGGGUGACCCGGAGUUGAAGGGGGGGGCCUCGCAGGACCUCAGGGGGAAGAAGGACCCAGGGGCCUACCAGGGGUGGCAGGUCCUCAGGGAAUUAGAGGACUUACGGGACCUGUUGGGCCUGCUGGGGACAUGGGUCCUAAAGGAGAGGAGGGGCCUCCAGGGCCACAAGGGCCCAUGGGUGUAGGUGUUACAGGACCCCCGGGGAAAGACGGCAGAGUCGGUUCUAAUGGAAUCCCAGGAGCUGAUGGAAGAGAUGGACUGAUGGGGUCAAGGGAGUCAAGGGUGAACCUGGAGAGUGUAACUGUAUCAGCCCUCCACAUGCAGGAACAGGAGGAACAGGAGGACCGGUGAG